rnacentral:antisense_RNA from 1 species
CGACAGCGAUCUUCAGUCAGGGUCAGGCAAAUGAGGCCACGGCCGAAACGAGCCAUAAAAUUAAUCGCUUCCGGCGUGACCUUUUCAGCGGCCAUAAUCA